CGGUGAGGAACCUGCCUUUCAGAGGGGGACAACAGCUGGAAACGGCUGCUAAUACCGCAUAACACAUAGGUGUCGCAUGGCAUUUAUGUCAAAGAUUUAUCGCUGAGAGAUGGCCUCGCGUCUGAUUAGCUAGUUGGUAGGGUAACGGCCUACCAAGGCGACGAUCAGUAGCCGGACUGAGAGGUUGGCCGGCCACAUUGGGACUGAGAUACGGCCCAGACUCCUACGGAAGGCAGCAG
rnacentral:rRNA from 1 species